GGCAAUUGAAAAGCAACAUGAGAACAAUGUUAACCAAAUGGCCAAAGCGGGCUCGACCAUCAGCUAUGAUAGUUUUAAACUAGAUUGAUAUUUGUUAUCUUUGAUCACCAAUAAGAAUAAAGUUUGACUUUGUCCAACAAUUGAGGUAAGGACAUUUCCGAAUGUUUGAAUAAUCUGUGGUUUCUUUCGUUCCAAAUAAUCCACACACAUAAGAGUUAAAUAAGUUGCAAAAAGGAACAUCGCGCUCGAAGACCACCUGAUGAAUAAGUAAACUG
rnacentral:lncRNA from 1 species